rnacentral:rRNA from 1 species
AGAUUGAACGCUGGCGGCAUGCCUAACACAUGCAAGUCGAACGGGAGUAGCAAUACUCUAGUGGCGGACGGGUGAGGAAUACGUAGGAAUUUGCCCUUAAGUGGGGGAUAACCCGGGGAAACCCGGAUUAAUACCGCAUGACCUCGAAAGAGCAAAGUGGGGGAUCGCAAGACCUCACGCUUUUGGAGAAGCCUACGUCGGAUUAGCUAGUUGGUGAGGUAAUGGCUCACCAAGGCGACGAUCCGUAACUGGUCUGAGAGGAUGAUCAGUCACACCGGAACUGAGACACGGUCCGGACUCCUACGGGAGGCAGCAGUGGGGAAUAUUGGACAAUGGGCGCAAGCCUGAUCCAGCAAUGCCGCGUGUGUGAAGAAGGCCUUCGGUUGUAAGCUACGUUUAAGUUAGGGAAGAAAAAACGUCGACUACUAACACAGUAGAGUCGUUGACGGUACCGACGAGAA